rnacentral:rRNA from 1 species
CCUACGGGAGGCAGCAGUAGGGAAUUUUCGUCAAUGGGCGCAAGCCUGAACGAGCAAUGCCGCGUGAACGAGGAAGGUCUUCGGAUCGUAAAGUUCUGUUGAAGGGGAAAAAGAGCGGAGAGAGGAAAUGAACUCCGAUUGAUAUUACCCUUCGAGGAAGUCACGGCUAACUACGUGCCAGCAGCCGCGGUAAAACGUAGGUGGCGAGCGUGAUCCGGAUUGAUUGGGGGUAAGGGGUGCGUAGGCGGCCUGCUAAGUCUGGAGUGAAGGGGACGGGCGCAACCGGUGCAGGCGCUUGAAACUGGCGGGCUAGAGAGCAGGAGAGGGCGGUGGAACGCGAGGUGUAGCGGUAAAAUGCGUAGAUAUAUGGAAGAACACCAGUGGCGAAGGCGGCCGCCUGGCCUGUUGACUGACGCUGAGGCACGAAAGCGUGGGGUGCAAAUAGGAUUAGAUACCCAGUAGUC